rnacentral:rRNA from 1 species
UUAAGUGAAUAAGGGCGCACGGUGGAUGCCUUGGCACUAGGAGCCGAUGAAGGACGGGACUAACACCGAUAUGCUUUGGGGAGCUGUACGUAAGCUAUGAUCCAGAGAUUUCCGAAUGGGGGAACCCAACAUCUUUAAUAGGAUGUUACGAUUGUGUGAAUACAUAGCACAUUCGAGGUAGACGCAGAGAACUGAAACAUCUAAGUACCUGCAGGAAGAGAAAGAAAAUUCGAUUCCCUGAGUAGCGGCGAGCGAAACGGGAAAAGCCCAAACCAGCAAGCUUGCUUGUUGGGGUUGUAGGACUCCAAUAUGGUAGUUCUUUCAGAUAGUCGAAUGACUUGGAAAAGUCAGUCAAAGAGGGUAAAAACCCCGUAGACGAAAUGUGGAAGACACCUAGGAGGAUCCUGAGUACGGCGGAACACGAGAAAUUCCGUCGGAAUCCGGGAGGACCAUCUCCCAAGGCUAAAUACUCCCUAGUGACCGAUAGUGAACCAGUACCGUGAGGGAAAGGUGAAAAGCACCCCGGAAGGGGAGUGAAAUAGAACCUGAAACCGUGUGCCUACAACAAGUCAAAGCCCGUUAAUGGGUGAUGGCGUGCCUUUUGUAGAAUGAACCGGCGAGUUACGAUUGCAUGCGAGGUUAAGUUGAAGAGACGGAGCCGCAGCGAAAGCGAGUCUGAAUAGGGCGUUUGAGUAUGUAGUCGUAGACCCGAAACCAUGUGAUCUACCCAUGUCCAGGUUGAAGGUGCGGUAAAACGCACUGGAGGACCGAACCCACGUACGUUGAAAAGUGCGGGGAUGAGGUGUGGGUAGCGGAGAAAUUCCAAACGAACUUGGAGAUAGCUGGUUCUCUCCGAAAUAGCUUUAGGGCUAGCCUCGGAAUUGAGAAUGAUGGAGGUAGAGCACUGUUUGGACUAGGGGCCCAUCUCGGGUUACCGAAUUCAGAUAAACUCCGAAUGCCAUUCAUUCAUAUCCGGGAGUCAGACUGUGAGUGAUAAGAUCCAUAGUCGAAAGGGAAACAGCCCAGACCACCAGCUAAGGUCCCAAAAUAUAUGUUAAGUGGAAAAGGAUGUGGGGUUGCACAGACAACUAGGAUGUUGGCUUAGAAGCAGCCACCAUUUAAAGAGUGCGUAAUAGCUCACUAGUCGAGUGACCCUGCGCCGAAAAUGUACCGGGGCUAAACAUAUUACCGAAGCUGUGGAGUACACCUUUAGGUGUAUUGGUAGGAGAGCGUUCUAAGGGCGUUGAAGGCAGAUCGUGAGGACUGCUGGAGCGCUUAGAAGUGAGAAUGCCGGUAUGAGUAGCGAAAGACAGGUGAGAAUCCUGUCCACCGAAUGACUAAGGUUUCCUGGGGAAGGCUCGUCCGCCCAGGGUUAGUCGGGACCUAAGCCGAGGCCGACAGGCGUAGGCGAUGGAUAACAGGUUGAUAUUCCUGUACCCGUUGUUUUUGUUUGAGCAAUGGAGGGACGCAGGAGGCUAAGGAAUGCAGACGAUCGGAAAUGUCUGUCCAAGCAGUAAGUCUGAAGAGGAGUCAAAUGCUUCUUUUCUUAAGGACAAGCUGUGAUGGGGAGGGAAAUAAUAGUACCGAAGUUCCUGAUGUCACACUGCCGAGAAAAGCUUCUAGUGAGAAAACAGCGGCCCGUACCGCAAACCGACACAGGUAGUCGAGGAGAGAAUCCUAAGGUGAGCGAGAGAACUCUCGUUAAGGAACUCGGCAAAAUGACCCCGUAACUUCGGGAGAAGGGGUGCUGAUCAUACGAUCAGCCGCAGUGAAUAGGCCCAAGCGACUGUUUAUCAAAAACACAGGUCUCUGCAAAAUCGUAAGAUGAAGUAUAGGGGCUGACGCCUGCCCGGUGCUGGAAGGUUAAGAGGAGUGCUUAGCGCAAGCGAAGGUACGAAUUGAAGCCCCAGUAAACGGCGGCCGUAACUAUAACGGUCCUAAGGUAGCGAAAUUCCUUGUCGGGUAAGUUCCGACCCGCACGAAAGGCGUAACGAUUUGGGCACUGUCUCAACGAGAGACUCGGUGAAAUUUUAGUACCUGUGAAGAUGCAGGUUACCCGCGACAGGACGGAAAGACCCCAUGGAGCUUUACUGUAGUUUGAUAUUGAGUGUCUGUACCGCAUGUACAGGAUAGGUAGGAGCCGUAGAAAUCGGAACGCUAGUUUCGAUGGAGGCGCUGGUGGGAUACUACCCCUGCGUUAUGGCCACUCUAACCCGCACCACUAAUCGUGGUGGGAGACAGUGUCAGAUGGGCAGUUUGACUGGGGCGGUCGCCUCCUAAAAGGUAACGGAGGCGCCCAAAGGUUCCCUCAGAAUGGUUGGAAAUCAUUCGAAGAGUGUAAAGGCAGAAGGGAGCUUGACUGCGAGACCAACAAGUCGAGCAGGGACGAAAGUCGGGCUUAGUGAUCCGGUGGUUCCGCAUGGAAGGGCCAUCGCUCAACGGAUAAAAGCUACCCUGGGGAUAACAGGCUUAUCUCCCCCAAGAGUCCACAUCGACGGGGAGGUUUGGCACCUCGAUGUCGGCUC